GAUGAACGCUAGCGGCAGGCCUAACACAUGCAAGUCGAGGGGCAGCGCAGAAAGUAGCUUGCUACUUUUGGCGGCGACCGGCGCACGGGUGCGUAACGCGUAUGCAACCUACCUCUAACCGGGGGAUACUUCGGAGAAAUCCGGUCUAAUACCCCAUAACACCACUUUCGGCAUCGAACGGUGGUUAAAAGCUCCGGCGGUUAUUGAUGGGCAUGCGUUGUAUUAGCUGGUUGGUGAGGUAACGGCUCACCAAGGCUACGAUACAUAGGGGGACUGAGAGGUUAACCCCCCACACAGGUACUGAGACACGGACCAGACUCCUACGGGAGGCAGCAGUGAGGAAUAUUGGUCAAUGGACGCAAGUCUGAACCAGCCAUGCCGCGUGCAGGAUGACGGCUCAAUGAGUUGUAAACUGCUUUUAUACCAGAGUAAAAGCGUCUACGUGUAGGCGUCUGAAAGUAUGGUAAGAAUAAGGAUCGGCUAACUCCGUGCCAGCCGCCGCGGUAACAC
rnacentral:rRNA from 1 species